CCUACGGGAGGCAGCAGUGAGGAAUAUUGGUCAAUGGGCGGAAGCCUGAACCAGCCAAGUAGCGUGCAGGAUGACGGCCCUACGGGUUGUAAACUGCUUUUAUACGGGAAUAACGCGCCUUACGUGUAGGGCUUUGCAUGUACCGUCUGAAUAAGGACCGGCUAAGUCCGUGCCAGCAGCCGCGGUAAUACGGAAGGUCCGGGCGUUAUCCGGAUUUAUUGGGUGUAAAGGGGGCGUAGGCCGCAUGACAAGGGUGCUGUGAAAUGUUCGGGCUCAACCCGGGCCUUGCAGCGAAAACUGGCGUGCUUGAGUGAGCGGAAGGCAGGCGGAAUUCGUGGUGUAGCGGUGAAAUGCUUAGAUAUGACGAAGAACCCCGAUUGCGAAGGCAGCUUGCUGGAGCGGAACUGACGCUGAUGCUCGAAAGCGCGGGGAUCGAACAGGAUUAGAUACCCUAGUAGUC
rnacentral:rRNA from 1 species